UUACGGUCAUAUCAAUUUGAAAGACCAGUUCCCGUACGAUUACCGAAGUAAAGCAACGGCGAGCCUGGUCAGUAACUAGAUGGAUGACCACUUGGGAAUACCUGGUGCUGUAAG